rnacentral:rRNA from 1 species
GAUCCUGGCUCAGGACGAACGCUGGCGGCGUGCUUAACACAUGCAAGUCGAACGGAGCACCCUUGAUUGAGGUUUCGGCCAAAUGAUAGGAAUGCUUAGUGGCGGACUGGUGAGUAACGCGUGAGGAACUUGCCUUUCAGAGGGGGACAACAGUUGGAAACGACUGCUAAUACCGCAUGACGCAUUUUGAUCGCAUGGUCGAAAUGCCAAAGAUUUAUCGCUGAAAGAUGG